GAAUUCGCCCUUGAAGGUUGAUGCUGGCUCAAGACGAACGCUGGUGGCGCGCCUAAUUCAUAUCAGUCAAACCGAGCUAAUACAGCUUGCUUUUUACGCUUAGUGGACAACGGGUGAAUAAGGCAUGAUUAAUCUGACCUAUAGCGGGGGACAACAGUUGGAAACCACUGCUAAUCCCCCAUAAACCCCCGGUGCCGCCUGACACUGAGGGAAAAGGAUUUAUUCACUUUAUGAUGGACUCCCGUCCAAUUAUCUAGUUGGGUGAGGUAACGGCCCACCAAGGCGACGAUCGAUAGCCGGCCUGAGAGGUUGAACGGCCACAUUGGGACUGAGACACGGCCCAGACUCCUACGGGAGGCAGCAGUGGGGGAUAUUGCACAAAUGGGGGAAACCCUGAUGCAGCGACGCCGCGUGGAGGAAGAAGGUUUUCGGUAUGUAAACUCCUGUCAUUAGGGACGAUAGUGACGGUACCUAACAAGGAAGCACCGGCUAACUACGUGCCAGCAGCCGCGGUAAUACGUAGGGGGCAAGCGUUGUCCGGAAUUACUGGGUGUAAAGGGAGCGCAGGCGGGAAGACAAGUUGGAUGUGAAAGCCAUGGGCUCAACCCAUGAAUUGCUUUCAAAACUGUUUUUCUUGAGUAGUGCAGAGGUAGAUGGAAUUCCCGGUGUAGCGGUGGAAUGCGUAGAUAUUGGGAGGAACACCAGUGGCGAAGGCGGUCUACUGGGCACCAAACUGACGCUGAGGCUCGAAAGCAUGGGUAGCAAACAGGAUUAGAUACCCUGGUAGUCCACGCCGUAAACGAUGAUCACUAGGUGUUGGGGGAUUGACCCCCUCAGUGCCGCAGUUAACACAAUAAGUAAUCCACCUGGGGAGUACGACCGCAAGGUUGAAACUCAAAGGAAUUGACGGGGGCCCGCACAAGCAGUGGAGUAUGUGGUUUAAUUAGAAGCAACGCGAAGAACCUUUCCAGGUCUUGACAUCGGAUGCAUAACACAGAGAUGUGCGAAAUCCUUUGGGACAUCGAGACAGGUGGUGCAUGGUUGUGGUCAGCUUGUGUGUUGAGAUGUUGGGUUAAGUCCUGCAAGGAGGGCAACCCUUAUUGCCAGU
rnacentral:rRNA from 1 species